GCAUGCUGCCACUAACAUGUCCCCAGUUCCGGAAGUCUCCUGUCCUUUCUCUUGUCACCCAACUCCUGCCUUCCCUGAAAGUCCCUUCCCGCUUCCAGCCCGCCGGGGUCAGCUUGGUCAGCGUCCAUUCCAGCCCCAACGACCAGAUGCUGUGGGUGCUUGACAGCAGGUGGAACGUGCACGUGCGGACCGGGAUCACCGAGGAGAUGCCUGUGGGGACCGCCUGGGAGCAUGUGCCAGGGUUGCAGGCCUGCCAGCUGGCGCUGAGCACCAGGACCGUGUGGGCCCGCUGUCCAAACGGAGACCUCGCCCGGCGGUACGGCGUCACAGACAAGAACCCCGCCGGGGACUACUGGAAGAAAAUUCCCGGCAGCGUGUCGUGUUUCACAGUGACUGCGUCAGAUGAGCUGUGGGCUGUGGGCCCGCCCGGCUACCUCCUCCAACGGCUGACGAAGACGUUCAGCCACUCGCACGGCACCCAGAAGAGCAGCCAGGCCGCCAUGCCCCACCCU
rnacentral:sRNA from 1 species